rnacentral:rRNA from 1 species
CAGCAGCAGCCACGGUAAUACGGAGGGUGCAAGCGUUAAUCGGAAUUACUGGGCGUAAAGCGCACGCAGGCGGUCUGUCAAGUCAGAUGUGAAAUCCCCGGGCUUAACCUGGGAACUGCAUUUGAAAUUGGCAGGCUAGAGUCUUGUAGAGGGGGGUAGAAUUCCAGGUGUAGCGGUGAAAUGCGUAGAGAUCUGGAGGAAUACCGGUGGCGAAGGCGGCCCCCUGGACAAAGACUGACGCUCAGGUGCGAAAGCGUGGGGAGCAAACAGGAUUAGAUACCCCAGUAGUCCCUGUCUCUUAUAC